rnacentral:rRNA from 1 species
AGAGUUUGAUCCUGGCUCAGGAUGAACGCUAGCGACAGGCCUAACACAUGCAAGUCGAGGGGCAGCACAUGAGUAGCAAUACGAUGGUGGCGACCGGCGCACGGGUGAGUAACACGUAUGCAACCUGCCUGUAAGAGGGGAAUAACCCGGAGAAAUCCGGACUAAUACCGCAUAAGACCGCAAUUCUGCAUGGUAUAGCAGUUAAACAUUUAUGGCUUACAGAUGGGCAUGCGUAUGAUUAGCUAGUUGGUGAGGUAACGGCUCACCAAGGCAACGAUCAUUAGGGGUUCUGAGAGGAAGGUCCCCCACACUGGUACUGAGACACGGACCAGACUCCUACGGGAGGCAGCAGUGAGGAAUAUUGGUCAAUGGGCGAGAGCCUGAACCAGCCAAGUCGCGUGAAGGAUGACUGCCCUAUGGGUUGUAAACUUCUUUUGUAAGGGAAUAAAAAAAGGUACGUGUACUUUAUUGUAUGUACUUUACGAAUAAGGAUCGGCUAACUCCGUGCCAGCAGCCGCGGUAAUACGGAGGAUCCAAGCGUUAUCCGGAUUUAUUGGGUUUAAAGGGUGCGUAGGCGGGCCCUUAAGUCAGUGGUGAAAGUUUGCAGCUCAACUGUAAAAUUGCCAUUGAAACUGAGGGUCUUGAGUGUAAAUGAGGUAGGCGGAAUGUGUUGUGUAGCGGUGAAAUGCUUAGAUAUAACACAGAACACCAAUUGCGAAGGCAGCUUACUGGGAUACAACUGACGCUGAGGCACGAAAGCGUGGGGAUCAAACAGGAUUAGAUACCCUGGUAGUCCACGCAGUAAACGAUGAAUACUAACUGUAUGCGAUAUACUGUAUGCGGUACAGCGAAAGCGUUAAGUAUUCCACCUGGGGAGUACGUUCGCAAGAAUGAAACUCAAAGGAAUUGACAGGGAUUAUCGUGACUGGGCCAUUGUAUUAUCGUGACUGGGAAAC